rnacentral:lncRNA from 1 species
GGUGGCUCAGGUUGUGGUAGGGCCCUUGGCCGAUCCUCUCUACCCUCAGACCGGCGUCGAAUGAACCUGUCGAGCCGACCUCGUCUGAUGAGCUCCUCGAUCUCAUCUCAGAGUUGAAUGCAUUCCUCUGUGUCGUGACCGUGGUCAUGAUGGUAGAGGCAAAACUUGUUUGGAUUGUGCUUCCCAGGGUGUGUGCGCAUCCUUUCUGGCCUUGGGAGCUGCCCCUGACU